rnacentral:rRNA from 1 species
AGCGAGCGCUGGCGGCGUGCCUAACACAUGCAAGUCGAGCGAAGGCAUGAGUGUAGCAAUACACUUAUGUACUUAGCGGCGGACGGGUGAGUAACACGUGGAUAAUCGUGCCCUGGGGACCGGGACAACUCUUGGAAACGGGAGCUAAUACCGGAUGUGACCACGAUGCUUGAGGGCAUUGGGGUAAAAGGUGGCCUGCAAGGGCUAUUGCCUUGGGAUGAGUUCACGACCCAUCAGGUAGUUGGGGGUA